CCCCAGAGGCACCUGCUCAAAGUGUUCCCUGCUGGUGAGCACACUGCCCAGAGGGCUGGUGGCGGGCCCCAUCCUCGGGCACCAGCACACCCCGCCUCGCCCUCCUCACCCCUCCAUGCUGCCGGGCACCCAGCGCUCCGUUGUUGAUUCCUCAGCUACCUACCCAGUAACUGCCCGCGUCGGGGACCGGGGAGCAGGGAGCUACGGGCACGAGUUUAUGAUCCCCAAAGGCAGAUUUGGGGAUAGGAGACUUGUCUCUACAGGACAUGCGGGAGAUCUCUGCUCUGGCCCCUGACCCCACCACUGCGCCUGGAGCCCUCCUUGGCUUGGUCCUGAAGAGGAGUAAGACCAGGAAGCAGGAGGCACAGGUCUGUGGUCCUGGUGCUUCAGAAACUCUCAUUGAGGGAGCUGUGUGGAGAAUCUUCCACGAACACAUACUUAGCUGCUGUAUUUCUUUCUGUUAUUUAUAUACAUAUACGUGUAUUUUUGCACAUGAAAACAAUCCCUACUCAUUGUAGGAAAUUUGGAAAGUAAAGCAAAACACAAUAAGGAAAAAUAUAAUGCAGAUAUAAGUGUUAUUAACUUU